GUUACACAACGAUCGAUGUAGGUUCGACCAGUUGUUGGAGUACGGUAGAAGUAAUCUGGAAUUGGCUUAUCCCCCUUCGAGAUGGUACCGCGGUAGUCUCCAUCAUAGG
rnacentral:sRNA from 1 species